CAGUAGCCGCGGUAAUACGUAGGGUGCGAGCGUUAAUCGGAAUUACUGGGCGUAAAGCGUGCGCAGGCGGUUGUGUAAGACAGGUGUGAAAUCCCCGGGCAUAACCUGGGAACUGCGCUUGUGACUGCACAGCUAGAGUAUGGCAGAGGGGGGUAGAAUUCCACGUGUAGCAGUGAAAUGCGUAGAGAUGUGGAGGAACACCGAUGGCGAAGGCAGCCCCCUGGGCCAAUACUGACGCUCAUGCACGAAAGCGUGGGGAGCAAACAGGAUUAGAUACCCGUGUAGUCCCUGUCUCUUAUAC
rnacentral:rRNA from 1 species